AAUUUGGAGAGUUUGAUCCUGGCUCAGGACGAACGCUGGCGGCAUGCCUAAUACAUGCAAGUCGAGCGGAGUUGUUUUGGAAGCUUGCUUCCAAAACAACUUAGCGGCGGACGGGGG
rnacentral:ncRNA from 1 species